rnacentral:rRNA from 1 species
GACGAACGCUGGCGGCGUGCUUAACACAUGCAAGUCGAACGGAAAGGCCCUGCUUUUGUGGGGUGCUCGAGUGGCGAACGGGUGAGUAACACGUGAGUAACCUGCCCUUGACUUUGGGAUAACUUCAGGAAACUGGGGCUAAUACCGGAUAGGAGCUCCUGCUGCAUGGUGGGGGUUGGAAAGUUUCGGCGGUUGGGGAUGGACUCGCGGCUUAUCAGCUUGUUGGUGGGGUAGUGGCUUACCAAGGCUUUGACGGGUAGCCGGCCUGAGAGGGUGACCGGCCACAUUGGGACUGAGAUACGGCGCAGACUCCUACGGGAGGCAGCAGUGGGGAAUAUUGCACAAUGGGGGGAAGCCUGAGGCAGCAACGCCGCGUGCGUGAUGACGGCCUUCGGGUUGUAAACCGCUUUCGCCUGAGACGAAGCGUGAGUGACGGUAAUGGGUAAAGAAGCACCGGCUAACUACGUG